rnacentral:rRNA from 1 species
GGUGCUGCAUGGCUGUCGUCAGCUCGUGUCGUGAGAUGUUGGGUUAAGUCCCGCAACGAGCGCAACCCUUGCUAUUAAUUGCCAUCAUUAAGUUGGGCACUUUAAUAGGACUGCUGGUGAUAAACCGGAGGAAGGUGGGGAUGACGUCAAGUCCUCAUGGCCCUUAUGGGUAGGGCUUCACACGUCAUACAAUGGCCGGUACAGAGGGAUGCCAACCCGCGAGGGGGAGCCAAUCUCAGAAAGCCGGUCGUAGUCCGGAUUGUUCUCUGCAACUCGAGAGCAUGAAGUCGGAAUCGCUAGUAAUCGCGGAUCAGCAUGUCGCGGUGAAUACGUUCCCGGGUCU